CGUAGGGUAACCUGCGGAGGGAUCAUUACACAAAUAUGAAGGCGGGCUGGAACCUCUCGGGGUUACAGCCUUGCUGAAUUAUUCACCCUUGUCUUUUGCGUACUUCUUGUUUCCUUGGUGGGUUCGCCCACCACUAGGACAAACAUAAACCUUUUGUAAUUGCAAUCAGCGUCAGUAACAAAUUAAUAAUUACAACUUUCAACAACGGAUCUCUUGGUUCUGGCAUCGAUGAAGAACGCAGCGAAAUGCGAUAAGUAGUGUGAAUUGCAGAAUUCAGUGAAUCAUCGAAUCUUUGAACGCACAUUGCGCCCUUUGGUAUUCCAAAGGGCAUGCCUGUUCGAGCGUCAUUUGUACCCUCAAGCUUUGCUUGGUGUUGGGCGUCUUGUCUCUAGCUUUGCUGGAGACUCGCCUUAAAGUAAUUGGCAGCCGGCCUACUGGUUUCGGAGCGCAGCACAAGUCGCACUCUCUAUCAGCAAAGGUCUAGCAUCCAUUAAGCCUUUUUUUCAACUUUUGACCUCGGAUCAGGUAGGGAUACCCGCUGAACUUAAGCAUAUCAAUAAGCCGGA
rnacentral:rRNA from 1 species